rnacentral:tRNA from 1 species
UGGAGCAGUUGGUAGCUCGUCGGGCUCAUAACCCGAAGGUCGCAGGUUCAAGUCCUGUCCCCGCAACCA